rfam:Mesorhizobium sp. L48C026A00 scaffold0036, whole genome shotgun sequence.
UUUGUUGUCGGCCAUCUACUCCUCCCAGAUGCGAUGCUGACAAACAGCGGGCUCACCUCCUCCCGAGUUCGCCCAAAUAGAGAGCCCGCUGCACCUCCUCCCGCAGCGGGCUUUUUUU